rnacentral:lncRNA from 1 species
AUGUUUCCCCUCUGUGGUACAUGUGCCGCUGAGCUCAAUCAGACAGCCGCGUGUCAUCACAGCAACGAUGAACGGGCUCUGACAGGCACCUGGGUGACUUUUGAGCUACAAAAAGCAGUUGAAAUGGGCUACGUGUUAAUCCAGAUGCAUGAGGUGUGGCACUACCCCAAACGGUCAGAGACUCUGUUUAAAAGGUAUGUCAAAACGUUUCUCAAGCGUAAACAGGAGGCUUCAGGAUACCCCAGCACAGUGGAUACUGCGGAGAAACAGCGGGUGUAUGUGCAAAACUACCUGGCAAAGGAAGGCAUACUGCUGGAUCGCGACAACAUGUGUGUGAACAAGGCCAUGCGUAAUUGCAACAAGUUGAUUCUAAACAGUCUGUGGGGUCGCUUUUCACUACGCCCAGACCUACCCACUUGCGAGCUAAUUUCUGAACCUGAAAGGUUCACUCAGCUCAUGUUUAGCGACAGCUAUCACAUUAGUCACUUUUGCUUUAUCUCUGAUGCUGUGGCCCUUGUACAAUGGAAACACGUAGAUGCACGUCUCGCAAGGGCGCGGGAUGUCAACGUGAUUGUGGGGGCUGUGACUACCGCCCAUGCCAGGCUCAUGCUCUACGAUCUUCUAGACAAACUACAGGAACGUGUCCUCUAUUGUGACACAGACAGCAUCAUUUUUGUUUCUAAGGAGGGUGAUUGGGUACCCCCUUUAGGCCCUUAUCUGGGCGACUUGACCGACGAGAUAAAUGAUGGUGAUCUGUAUGGUACCGAACAGGAGGAUUACAUUAGUGAAUAUGUCUCAACAGGUCCUAAAAGCUAUGCAUACCACACCCGUCACCACAAGUCUGUCGUCAACUUGUGUAUAUAUUGUGUAUAUAUAUACUGUAUGUGUUUUUAUUUUAUUAUUAUCUUAUUAUUAUUAUUAUUAUUAUUAUCUUUUUUUAUAUGUAGUAUUGAUUUGUUUUGUUUAUUUAUUUAUUUUUUCUAUUUAUUUACCUAUUUUUUUUUAUUUUAUUUUGUUACUUAUCUAUUUAUUUAUAUUGUUUACAUUUAA